GGAGCGGCAGCUACGCGGUCAGUUCGCCCAGUGCGCGCAUCAAGCGAUAGACGCAAAGCCGACGUGAUCAGGUCGUCGGUUCGAUUCCGACGUCGCUCUC
rnacentral:tRNA from 1 species